rnacentral:lncRNA from 1 species
GGCCAAAGCCCCCCCCAUUCAUCGUGGGCGUGUGAGGCUUUUGGCCUUAACCUAAGGUGCUAGUUGUUUUGUAGGUGCAAAAUCGUCCAAGAUCGAGGAGGAGAAAAUUUGCAUCCACAAAUUGGUGCUUUCAUUGAGAGUUGAAAUCCAUACUCGUAGAAGACUCUCGCACAAAAAAGUUUUUUCUUUAUUUUCUAGUCCAUUUGAAUAUUUUUCAUACGUUCUUGUUAUUAGAAUUUUUUACUUGCAAAGUUUCUUUGAUAAAACGUAUAAGAAAAAUAUAAUGGCUAGAAAUUUAGAAAAUUCCACAAGUGAAAAUUCUAAUAUUCAAGAAAUGGGAUUGCGGAGAUCCGUGAGGCUAAAUGCGACAAUAAGUGGAGCGGCACCACCACCACGAGUUUCCACCACGGGAACCACCGCAGUGGCUACCUCGGUAGUCACCCGUGGCGAGGUCCAUGGUGCUUUCACCACGACCCGAGCCGUGCCAUCCAAGGCUCACGGCACCAAGGCCACGACCCAAGCCAUGUCACUCCAAGCCCAACGUGAAUUUAACACGUUGCCAAGCCAAGCCCAAACCUCGCACCCAUGUGCAUCAUACUCCGAGCAGCCUGCUCCAAUCGAGCAGCCCACUCUCGUGGCCCAACCUGCUCCCACCAAGCAGCCUGCUCUCGUGGCCCAGCCUGCUCUCGACGAGCAGCCUACUCCCGUGGUCCAGCCUGUUCCAGCCGAGCAGCCCACUCCCGUGGCCCAGCCUGCUCCUGCUGAGCAGCCUACUCUCGCAGCCCAGCUUGCUCUCGAGGCCCAGCCUGCUCAUGCGGCCCAGUCUGCUCCCAUGGCUUUCCAAGCAGCCUAAGUCGGCCCAAGACUAUCUCAACCAUCCAGACCUACCAUCGAGCCGGGGGCAUUCUCACCAUAUUUUUUCACGAAUUUAACAUUUCCCAACUCAAAUCUCGUGCCCGGAGUCUACCACUCUUCCAUUGCCCAAGAAGGCACAUUCCUUCCAAGCUCUUCCAACCCAAAUGGAGAACAACACUUGUCUCGACAAGUCAUAAAGUUGACAAGCGUCCUCGCACAGCAGACGACCUUGGUGAAUCGACUCUUGCAACGCACCGAGAUGCAACGUGCCCCAGACGAGGUGUCCCGAAGUAGGACAAGGGCAGACAAAUAACCUCUCCAGCAGCGUCUUGGUAAGCAGCCACUCGACCAGCCACGAACCGAGCGUUCAGGCAGUAUGCACUCCCGAUUGGGCCCCCGAGAUAGCGUAUACUCCCGUCUUAGAGCGUGGAGGAGCGUGCACUCUCGACUAGACCCACAGACAAGCAUACAUUCAUGGUUAGGGUCACACUCUGAUAGUCAACAUGAGCAGCCUUCCAGGCGAAGUGUUCGUUUGCGGUUAAGCCCUCAAGGAGCAUCAUCCACCUCACAUUGGAGUAGGCAGCCCGACGGAUGGAGAGAAACACUCAAUACGGCUUAAGUGCAACCAGUAGCCUGCGAAGAACUCGCUCGCCUGCUAGGAACGCGCUACAUGCACUGCAUCCGGGGCAUAGACAAGCCAAACACAUGGAAGAGCAGCCUAGACCAGCAAGUCACGGUUGGGGGCAGCCGAGAGCUCCGCUACCUCAACAAAAACAAAUUCAGGAAGAAGUAGAGACUCUUGACCAAGCAAUUGCGCAAUUUCCAACGCAAUGAGGUCAUUAACGAGGCACUACGACGGAACAUGACCAACAUAAGCAGGUCACCCUUCACGGACAAGAUCGAGCAGGCAAAGCCUCCACGCGAGUUUAGCAUGCCACAUUUCACAUCUUUCAAAGGGGAUGAAGACCCGGAGAGACACUUAAAGCACUACCGAAGCACAAUGAUCCUCUAUCGAAACAACGACGGUCUCAUGUGCAAGAUAUUUGCCACCACUCUACAAGGCAAGGCGCAAGAUUGGUUGUACACCCUACCGCCACAAUCUAUCCGGAAUUUUGACGAACUUUCUUUGGUUUUCACCAAAGAAUAUUCAUCCUAUCGCUCGAUCAAAAAGAAGUCCGACCAUUUGUUCGACGUCAAGAAAAACCCAAAUGAGUCGUUUCGAGACUAUGUGAGGAGGUUCAAAACAGAAAAGGCAAAAAUAGUCGGAUGUAACGACUCGAUAGCUAGAGCAGCCUUCCAAAAAGGACUUCCAGCGGACCACCCACUAUUCGGAAAACUGAUAAUGAAAGAAUAUCUAACUCUGGCAGACUCUUUCGCUCUGGCAAAGAAGCAUGCACUUUGGGACGAAGUUCGACGAUCUUGAAUAUGAAGUUCCCCACUACUCUAAAGGAGAUUCAAAAUCUGACUGGACGAGUAGUCACAUCUGAAGCAGAAAUAAGCUCUACCAUCAUACGAGAAGAGCUGGGGGGCCGACUACCUAUAUUCCACAAUUUAAAAGCUCUCCUCGAUGCUAUUAGUUGUAUUCCAUAGUUUAAAAGCUCUUAUUGAUGUAUCAGAAAUUCAAAAGCUAACUUUGGCAAUAGUUGUUAUAACCUAAAAGCUCAAGUUUUACCUUCAAACGCACGCAGUCAUCAUCAUGAUGCACCAUUCUGCUGAAUCCAGACGUGCGACGAUAAAUGAGUAGACCUUAGUGGAUGCAAAGCUUUCUGACGAACACAACAACUCAGCUUAAAAGACACGCCAAGGGCAGAAGAACAUUGGAAGGAACACUUAGAAGCAAGUUUUUGUCCUCGUCGUCCCAGAAGAUUCUACAUAAGAGCAAUAUGUACCGGCAGUUGAGCACUACCUUCUGCCGUGCGUCACACGGCCCUAGCCGACCCUUACUCCAUUAUUCAGCUCUAGAGAGGCCCAAUAUCGAAAAUUAAGCAUCUCCUGCUACAUGUAACAUGGCCCUAGCUCCACGGCUCCCUGCCGAGCCUUCACGCCUAGCCUUGACAACGCAACAGAGCAGCCUGAUGACGCCCCGAAGGCAGUCGAGCACACUUUAGCCGCACCUACUCCUUCAAUGGAGAUUUCUGGCAUUUGCAUGUCAACGGCGCAUCCAACUACAAAGGCUCGUGAGCAGCCGUGGUUCUUAUCACCCCAAAUGGUUCAAUGCUCAAACAGGCGAUCACUCUAAGUUUCAAAGCAUCUAACAACGAAGCAGAAUACGAAGCUCCACUAGCAGGCCUUCGAAUGAAAAAAGACUUGGCGGUGAAAAAGCUUUCAAUUCAUUCUGAUUCCCAACUAAUCACCAGCCAGACUACUAGGGGCAAAGGCAUGAUGAUCGUGGCAACUGACUACUUCACCAAAUAGGUAGAAGUAGAGCCCAUGACGACCACGAUUCAGACGGACAUAGAGCGCUUGAUAUGGAGGAACAUCAUUUACUGAUUUGGCAUCCCUUAAUCCAUCGUCACCAACGACGGCCCGCAAUUCAUGGGCAAAGAUUUGGUGAAGUUCUUCUAAAAAUAUGGCAUAAAGCAGCAUAUGUCCACGCCGAGAUAUCCUCAAGGCAAUAAGCGGGCCGAAACAUCCAAAAAGAUGAUCCUCAACUGCCUCAAGAAAUCCUUCACCAACAAGAAGGGAAAAUGGCCAGACAAACUCCCCGGAUGUCUAUGGGCAUAUCGCACCACCAAAAGACGAGCAACCGGUGAGACUCAUUUCAAUGUCAUCAAGCCAAGUAUCACCGCUCUACUACCAAGCACUGAGCAGAACAGUGAGAAGAUAGCCACAAGAUCUGGCAGAGGAGAAACGCGAGCAUACAAAUACCCGCAUUGCAACCUACCAGCAGCAGCUCUUCUCCAGCUACAACAAAAGAGCUAAGAUUCGGCAGUUCUAGCCCGGAGAUCUAGUCCUAAGAAAAGCCUUCAUCACUGCCCGCGGAGAGGACUCCAAAAAGAUGGAUCCCAUCUGGGAAGGCCGGUACAAGAUCAAUAGAGUAGGCGGCAAGAGUAAUUACACCUUCGCCACCAUGAAACGACAAAAAGUUCGAAAAGCAGUGGAACGCCUACAAUCUGAGGAAGUACCAUGUGUGACCUCCCGCUACAUCAAAGCCUGAAGACUCAAACAGCUCGACGGGCACCACCUCACAAGCUGAGGACUAUCCAGUUGUUAUGCAGUUCCUACCUUACAGUUAAGUUCUCGUUCGUUUCACUCAUUUUUCAAUGAGAAAUUCAGAAGUAAUCACAACUUGGCUCGGCUGCAUGCUUACAACAACUGAUCAUUCCUGCACUUCAAAAGAAGACUGCGCCCUUCUUAGGGACUCAUCGCAGGAAUUGCGCCCCCCGAGGGACCAACCAUGCUCUCCAGUGCGAGAGGGUAAACCAAUUCCCCAACACCCAUAUGGGUCAGCUCUCUAAGACAGGAGGAUAAACUUUACAUUCCGAAUAUCCAGACGUGGAUGAGCCUGGCUGCCCUAGUAUAACUAGAUGCACGAUGGCUUGCGCCGGGAUUCCUAGAAGUAGCCACAAUGGUCUUUUUCAAGGCUUAGCUAACUGAAGGAUUUUGGGUCUCUUGGCCUAAUCCGUGGGGAACCGGGCCCUAGAGACGGAGGGGGCACAUUACGCAGUACACCCUAUAGACGGCUGCCCUAGAACCCUAAAGCUGCUACCGAGUGCACUAAGGUAUCCUACGGAUUCCGGAAGACUGCCUACGGCUUGCCCUUCGAGCAGUAAAGCCGCGCUAGACUUAUACAACUGCACAUUUUUAUGAAAAGGUUAAACAAGCUAGCGCGCAUAUAUGAAGUUUUAUCCACUGCCGACAUGCUACGUAGUCGAUAAGCUUCACCUCUGCCAAGCGCGAAACAACCUACACCAAGUCCUAAAGUGUUAUGAUACUUGCUACACAACCUACAGAAUUGAAGAAAGUCAAGGUUAACAGCCUGGUGGUUACGCAGACUUGUCUACUUCUGUAAGUAAGGCAUCCGGCUGCCAACCCUAUGGCUAACAACUUUGUAAAGUUCUACACCAACACCUACGGCUGUAUAGGCUACGCGAGCUUGUCUGCUUAUAAAAAGUAGCAUGCCUGCCACUGGUCUAUCAAGUCUAAAGGUUAGGGCAUGAGCAAAAUAAGCGAAGAUGAAGAAAAACGAAGGAAAACAUAUUUAUAAACAAAUAGCAAAGGCCGAAGGAGUUCAAGCAAAACAAGAGCUACAAGGAAAAACAAAGAAAAUCCUAAAGGCUACCUAGAAUACUACCCUACAGCAGCUUGGACAUCCCACGACUACUUAGUCGCCACACCUUCAACAGCCGUAACGCUCUUAGCAGCGGCAUCAUCCGGCGCUUCACCCCCGGCUGCCCCAGCUUGGGCACUAACUUUUCCAACUACUUCACCAAUAGAAGCCUUAAAAGUAAAAGCAAACAAGUCUUCCGGAGAAAUAGAGAAGCUCAUCUACUCCCUUCUCAGCAUAAGCAGCAUUCAACUUUUCAUCCUUUGCAUAAGCAGCAAAACGAAGCUCAGAAACUACAAACUCAAGAUCUUAAAUCUGAGGUAUUGUAACAUUCAAUCUCCUUCUCUGUACUUUCAUACUUAACUUGGAUCGCAUCAAGCCUAGUCUUCAAGUCAACAAUCUCGUGGCGAGCGGUCUCAAGCUGCAGAGAAGCAGGGGCAUAAAUAUUAGACCACUUCAAAGCAACAAGCUUAGAAUCCAACCUCUUAAUCUCCUCGACUGAGGAAUAAGCUUCAGCUGCCAUAAUCUUCGCCACCUCUUUGACGACCUUGCUAUAUAUGCAUCAUAGCAAGCAAAGCAGUUCUAUAUUAGGUCGUAUGUUUCGUAAAGGAACUUGGGCAAACAACCUUUUUACCGCUAUCAACAAACUUGGCACAAACGUUCAUGACUUCAAGCAGAUCUAGUUUCAAAAGCACAUAGAUCGCAACAGCAUCCCCAGAAGCAGGCUUAGUGGAUUUCUCAUAGCUGCCCACGCUAGCAAUAUCUUCUUUCCUAGCAGGCGAAACAAUCUCAGCAGCAAAUAGAGUAGGCUUUGGCACCACUUUAGCAGCAGAGUCCACUUUACCACUCUUCAUAAUAGCAAGUUUCUACAAAGGUGAACCAGACAUGGCUCCCAACGAACGUCCUGGUACAGACUUCGGCACUGGGGGCAUGAUAAAACCUUUAUGCUGAGUAAUUUUAUCAACAAUUGUACUAGCCAUUCUCAACAUGGAAGACGCCACAUGCUCAGAUCUAGCAACCUUAUUUUUCUUCCCAUUGGAAGAAGUCAUGUUAAUCACAUACCUCUCGGUAGCAGGCGGACCCUCAUGAGCAGCAGAAGAAGUCUUCAAUUUUUUCUUAACUGGCAUCUCAUGAACAAGCGGGGAAGAUCUCUUCUUUCCAUCUUCAUUCAUAGUAAGCUUCAUGACAGCGAUCAGACGAGCCAAUGCAUCCGCCUUGAUCCUCUUUACCUCCUCUUUCGAAAACAGCCCACAUUUCUCUCAGCAAAAAGGACUAAGCAGCCAACGACAUUCAUGGUACUCAGCAGGGGAGCUCAACCCAGCAUUCCAGCAGGCAGGAGGCCUGCAUGCCCAACAUUUCAGUAGCCCAUGAGACCCACAAUCUCCUCAUUUCUCUCAAUCGCCAGCCUGGCCCGAGUCAGGUCCAAAAUCCCAAAUGACAUGAGCUAUGCGGCUCGCCUAGCACUGCGCCCCAGCGCCACAAUCCGUGACCCUAUCCGCACAAACUGCCCUUAGCUCAAGCCAAGCCAAGUUGUCCAAGCAGUGGUCCCUGCCACGACAUCUCCUCGGCCUAUGCCGAGCCAACUCCUGGCCCUUGCCAGCCUACAUGCCGCACCACCCCGACGAUUGCCUCACAAUAGCACUAUCCGAGAAGAAGGCAAGAAAAAUUAAAUUUUUCUUACAUCGGUGCGGCACGGAGAAGACGAAGAAAUCAACGAAAGACGGUCCUUUGCACGGGCAAGAUGUAGAAGAUUGCUAAAGGAGGGGAAACAAAUAUCCUCUAACUUUCUCUCUCUUGUGGGGUAGACUAAAUUGCUCUCCAAAGUUGAUUUAAUAACCCACUUAAGGUAGACUUAAAUAGGCUUUGAGAGAAGUUUAUUUUCCCUUCCUAGAAGGAUCUAAUUUCCAAUUAAAGAGAGAAUCUACAUCAAAAUAGGAAGCAGUCCUAAGUUUCCUAAAGCAAGAAGAUCUCUACACCUGCUGCCCUUUUCUGCGAGCAGUUCAACAGGUGUGGGGGCAUUUGUGGAGCCAAAAAUAUUCACAAGGCGACACGUGGAUUUUUGGACAAAAAGGACAAAAAUACCCUUGCAGUACAACGGGGUUCCUACGCGCAAGCAGCGGGCAACCCUCUUUCAACCAAGACAGAAGUGCCCAAAAUAGGUAACAAUUCAAAGUCCAUCUCAUCAAAUCCUUUCUACAAGGUAAUUCCCAAACACAUUCCUUUUAAAAUUAUGUUAAUAGGCUAAUUGAUGGGUUUAUUGCCUAAUUAACCCAUUAAUUGUCAAUUAAACCAUCCAUUAUAUCCAAAUAACCACAAAAUACAUCCAAUUCAACCCUAAAAACACUACAUGGCCGGCCAUCCCCUUAGCUUUCUACCUUCCCUAUCUUUUCCCACUUUAUUACCCAAAUAAAGCUAAUCAUUCAAUUUGAUAACCCCCCAUUUAUUUCUAUCAUAUUUUAUUAGCCAAUAAAGUGGCUAAUUAAACCACAAAUUCACCAAAAAAUGGACAAAGUGGCCGGCCACUUCCUUUGAAAAGUGGACCAACCUAGUCCUAUAAAUAGGGACCCAUUUUCACCAAACACUCAUUCCAAACCUCUUGCAAAAAAAUCCCAAAUACUCUAAACACUAUUUUUCUCUAAAAUUCUAACUUUGGCAUCGAAGGUUCUUCGGCCAAAGCCCCCCCCCCAUUCAUCGUGGGGCGCGUGAGGCUUUUGGCCUUAACCUAAGGUGCUAGUUGUUUUGUAGGUGCAAAAUCGUCCAAGAUCGAGAGGAGAAAAUUUGCAUCCACAAUAUUGAUGAACUAAAACAUGAAUAGAUCAAUCAUUUGGAGCUGGCAGUGACUUUAAUUUCUGUUAAGUGGCAUUCAGCUGUGUCUUGUGGGGUUUGCACGACUGCAGUAUAGUGACUUCAUCAUGUCGGAUGACGCGUGCGUAUGCAUUUAAGGAGUGAGAUAUUCUCGGGUUCUAGUCUUCUGCAUGCAGACGUAUGCUUCAAAGGGAAUUUUGCUUGAAGCCUUGAACAUGCUGGAACGAAGUAAAACAGUCGUCUGAACCCUGGUUUGGGCUUUGAAUUUAGUAGGCCAAAAUCGUACGAAUUUUGCGUAAAUAAAAUUGAAUAUAUGCCCUAAACGGUGACAUUCGCGUUGGAAGUUUCUCCUCUUUGUACAAAUAUUCUUUACUUUAUUGCACUCAUAAAUACGCUCUCACAUAGCAUGUGUAAUAAGGUUUCAUUCCCUCCAUUGCACACUCUUACUAUUAGUUUAAAUUAAUUCUAGACUUUUAGGUUUUAAUUUAUUCACAUUUUUUCCACAUCAUCAUCAUUUUAUGGCUUCGUCUUCUUCUAGGUAUCAGCUAACACGCCUUGAUUUAGAUGUCUAGGUGAACAUUCCGGAUCGGGUUGUGUCAGUUUAGUAUCAGAGUAUAUGUUUAGGCAAUCCUGCAUUCAUCAAUCAUGUGAUGUAAGCAAUUUCGACUCUCGAUCUUUAGUGUUAGAAUUAUACCACCUCGUUGAACUCGUACCACACCAACAUUUGCUGAUUUUGGGCAAUUCUGAGUGACUAACGCUAACGUUAUCCAAACGGUUUUCUAGCUUCUCGAAAGAUUGCCUCCAGUUUUUAAGUGAAGAACUUUUACAGCACAGGAAGACCUAAAGCAUCCAAAGCUUGGUUUGGACAUGUUAAGAAGAUAUUCCACGACAUCAGAGCCGGUUUUGGGGGAGUGUGACCGGUUCUAUGGCAUAGGGCCCCCAAAUUUUGGGGCCCCCAAAAAUAUUUUUUAUUGAAUAUAAUAAUAUUAUAUAAAAAUAAUAUAUAUAAAUACUAAUCAAAUCAAAAUAUAUACAUAUAAAAAUCCAAUAGGCCAAGACUACUACCUAAAAGCCAUGUCAGACUAUUACCUAAAGCUAAAAGC